UACGUAGGGUGCAAGCGUUAAUCGGAAUUACUGGGCGUAAAGCGUGCGCAGGCGGUUGGCAAAGUCAGCUGUGAAAGCCCCGGGCUUAACCUGGGAAUGGCGGUUGAAACUAGUCGACUAGAAUCUGGCAGAGGGGGGUGGGAAUUCCACGUGGUAGCAGUGGAAAUGCGUAGAGAAUGUGGAGGAACACCGAUGGCGAAGGGACAGCCCC
rnacentral:rRNA from 1 species